CACGUAGGGGCCAAGCGUUGUCCGGAUUUAUUGGGCGUAAAGAGCUCGUAGGCGGUUCAGCAAGUCGGGUGUGAAAACUCUGGGCUCAACCCAGAGACGCCACCCGAUACUGCUGUGACUAGAGUCCGGUAGGGGAGUGGGGAAUUCCUGGUGUAGCGGUGAAAUGCACAGAUAUCAGGAGGAACACCGGUGGCGAAGGCGCCACUCUGGGCCGGCACUGACGCUGAGGAGCGAAAGCGUGGGUAGCAAACGAG
rnacentral:rRNA from 1 species